UUUAUAGCUAAUAUAUUAGUACAUAAUAAAUAAAUAAAUUUAUAAAUCCACGGUUCACCCACGAUCGACCCAAUAAUUCGGUGACUCGGAAGUCGUCUGGUUCAGUGUCCUACUAUGUACAAAUUUCUCUUUCUUUCCAUCUUUGUCCAUUUUCUUUUUUAUUUUAUUUAUAUAAGCUUUACCUACAAUAAAUAUAUAUAUAUAUAAAGUUGGAUUGUUUCUCUUCUCAUGCAUCAACCUCAGCAAGGAAGGAGGGGUAUUUUUAGACAUGUGGCAUGUGAAUAAUUCUGUGUUUUCGUUUGAUUUAUUCCUUUGGUGUGCUAGGCUUUUCUUUGGUCAUUUCUUUAAAAAUUGUAGAUUUUUGGAGAUUGGCUUUUUGCUAAAGGUUAUGUUCAGGCCCAGCAAGUAGGGUUGGGUCGUCUUCCUAUCUUCGACAUUCAUAGCUCUGCUCGCUGAACAAAUCACCGUAACGUCUCUUGAUAGCAUUAAAACAUAUUUUAAUCUGAUCUUUAACGUGAUUGCCCCAUUAUUUCAUCUCUCAAGCAUUCAAUCAACCUCAUCACUCCCAUAGUAACCGACGGAAGCUCGGACUAUAAAUCUCCAAUCUCCAGCGAUGAACAGCACAGAAUCAACCAAAUCAAGAAGAACAGACUCUGCUAAUUACCACGGCCAGCUCCUAUAAACUGCUAAUAAAAUACAUAUAUAUGCUAAUUCAUAUCUUGUAUUCUAUUUUAGCCAGGCUGUUGUCAUCCCACUUCUCCGUUUCUCAUAGGAGCGUAAUGUGAAGAAAGGAGGUGAUUCUCUGCUACUGGAAGAUAAGUGUCUCCAAUAGGGCAUAAAGAUGCAUACAAGAUUUUGAGUGCGCAAGGAAAGCAAAAUCGGUUGAAACCUCAUAGCACGUACAAAAUUUUAGUGGAAAAUCUGAUGACGACUUGCUAGAGACGGUGGUUUAAGAAGCUUUUCUGACUCUUCUACCAAUAAUAAUGUAAUUAUUUCUCUUUUUUUUUGUAGAACUUAUUUUUGUAACACCAAUUAUUUUUCAUUUAUCUCAGUCUUUCUCUGUGUAUUUGAAUCGAUGAUGAAGUCUACAAGGCAUAAUGAGACAUAUGAUUCACUC